rnacentral:misc_RNA from 1 species
GAUGAAGAACGUAGCGAAAUGCGAUACGUAAUGUGAAUUGCAGAAUUCAGUGAAUCAUCGAAUCUUUGAACGCACAUUGCGCCCGCCAGCACUCUGGCGGGCAUGCCUGUUCGAGCGUCAUUUCAACCAUCAAGCCCCAGGCUUGCGUUGGAGCCCUGCGGCUGCCGCAGACUCCUAAAAGCAGUGGCGGGCUCGCUAUCACACCGAGUGCAGUAGAUUACUCUUCGCUCAGGGCGUGCAGCGGGUUCCGGCCGUGAAACCCCCUACUUUUAAAGGUUGACCUCGGAUCAGGUAGGAAUACCCGCUGAACUUAAGCAUAUCAAUAAGCGGAGGA